CAAUAGCGUAUAUUUAAGUUGUUGCAGUUAAAAAGCUCGUAGUUGGAUUUCGGAUGGGAUUUGCCGGUCCGUCGUUACGAUGUGCACUGGCCAGUCCUAUCUUGUUGUCGGGGACUAGCUCCUUGGAUUCACUUCCUGGGACUAGGAGCUGACGAGGUUACUUUGAGUAAAUUAGAGUGUUCAAAGCAAGCCUACGCUCUGAAUACAUUAGCAUGGAAUAACACGAUAGGACUCUGGCUUAUCUUGUUGGUCUGUGAGACCAGAGUAAUGAUUAAGGGGGACAGUCGGGGACAUUCGUAUUUCAUUGUCAGAGGUGAAAUUCUUGGAUUUAUGAAAGACGAACUUCUGCGAAAGCAUUUGUCAAGGAUGUUUNCAUUA
rnacentral:rRNA from 1 species